rnacentral:rRNA from 1 species
AUUGAACGCUGGCGGCAGGCCUAACACAUGCAAGUCGAGCGGAUGAAGGGAGCUUGCUCCUGGAUUCAGCGGCGGACGGGUGAGUAAUGCCUAGGAAUCUGCCUGGUAGUGGGGGAUAACGUCCGGAAACGGGCGCUAAUACCGCAUACGUCCUGAGGGAGAAAGUGGGGGAUCUUCGGACCUCACGCUAUCAGAUGAGCCUAGGUCGGAUUAGCUAGUUAGUGGGGUAAAGGCCUACCAAGGCGACGAUCCGUAACUGGUCUGAGAGGAUGAUCAGUCACACUGGAACUGAGACACGGUCCAGACUCCUACGGGAGGCAGCAGUGGGGAAUAUUGGACAAUGGGCGAAAGCCUGAUCCAGCCAUGCCGCGUGUGUGAAGAAGGUCUUCGGAUUGUAAAGCACUUUAAGUUGGGAGGAAGGGCAGUAAGUUAAUACCUUGCUGUUUUGACGUUACCAACAGAAUAAGCACCGGCUAACUUCGU